CUAGCCGUAAACGAUGGAUACUAGGUGUGGGUGUCGCAGGGCAUCCGUGCCGCAGUUAACGCGUUAAGUAUCCCGCCUGGGGACUACGGUCGCAAGACUGAAACUCAAAGGAAUUGACGGGGGCCCGCACAAGCGGUGGAGCACGUGGUUUAAUUCGAUGCAAACCGAAGAACCUUACCUGGGUUUGACAUGCAGGUGUUAGUGAAGAGAGAUCGGAACGACUCUGCAGUAAUGUAGAGAGACUGCACAGGUGC
rnacentral:rRNA from 1 species